AGUGAACGCUGGCGGUAGGCCUAACACAUGCAAGUCGAACGGCAGCACAGUAAGAGCUUGCUCUUACGGGUGGCGAGUGGCGGACGGGUGAGGAAUACAUCGGAAUCUACUUUUUCGUGGGGGAUAACGUAGGGAAACUUACGCUAAUACCGCAUACGACCUACGGGUGAAAGCAGGGGAUCUUCGGACCUUGCGCGAUUGAAUGAGCCGAUGUCGGAUUAGCUAGUUGGCGGGGUAAAGGCCCACCAAGGCGACGAUCCGUAGCUGGUCUGAGAGGAUGAUCAGCCACACUGGAACUGAGACACGGUCCAGACUCCUACGGGAGGCAGCAGUGGGGAAUAUUGGACAAUGGGCGCAAGCCUGAUCCAGCCAUACCGCGUGGGUGAAGAAGGCCUUCGGGUUGUAAAGCCCUUUUGUUGGGAAAGAAAAGCAGCAGGUUAAUACCCCGCUGUUCUGACGGUACCCAAAGAAUAAACACCGGCUAACUUCG
rnacentral:rRNA from 1 species